rnacentral:ncRNA from 1 species
AUAAGCAGGGGAGCUUGACCGCUGAGAGGAAGGCAGAACGCCUUCGACCCUUAGACCUGAUUUGGAUAAUGCCAACGCAGGGAGAAGU